rnacentral:rRNA from 1 species
GCAUCAUGCAAAUAUCUUCCCUAUCAACUUUCGAUGGUAGGAUAGAGGCCUACCAUGGUUUCAACUGGGUACGGGGAAUUAGGGUUCGAUUCCUGAGAGGGAGCCUGAGAAACGGUACCACAUCCAAUGAAGGCAGCAAGCGCGCAAAUUACCCAAUCCCGACCUGGGGAGGUAGUGACAAUAAAUAACAAUAUAGGGCUCUUUAGGGUCUUAUAAUUGGAAUGAGUACAAUUUAAAUCUCUUAACGAGAAACAAUUGGAGGGCAAGUCUGGUGCCAGCAGCCGUGGUAGUUCCAGCUCCAAUAGCGUAUCAUCAGGUUGUUGCAGUUAAAAAGCUCGUAGUUG